CCUACGGGAGGCAGCAGUGAGGAAUAUUGGUCAAUGGCCGGAAGCCUGAACCAGCCAUGCCGCGUGAAGGUCAGUGCCCUAUGGGCGUUAAACUUCUUUUGUGCGGGAGCAAUAAUGGUCACGUGUGGCCAGACGAGAGUACCAUACGAAUAAGCAUCGGCUAACUUCGGGCCAGCAGCCGCGGUAAUACGGGGGAUGCCAGCGUUAUCCGGAUUUAUUGGGUUUAAAGGGUGCGUAGGCUGUGCGGUAAGUCAGUGGGGAAAUGCCCCCGCUCAACGGGGUGAAGUGACAUUGAUACUGCCUUGCUGGAGUGCGGAUGCCGUGGGAGGAAUGUGUGGUGUAGCGGUGAAAUGCAUAGAUAUCACGCAGAACACCGAUUGCGAAGGCAUCUCACGAAUCCGCGAUUGACGCUGAUGCACGAAAGCGUGGGUAUCAAACAGGAUUAGAUACCCCAGUAGUC
rnacentral:rRNA from 1 species